rnacentral:rRNA from 1 species
AACCUUUACAAUGCACGCAAGUGUGAUAAGGGGAUCCUGAGUGCUCAUGUUAUGCAUGGGCUUUUGCCAAGAGUAAAUAUCUUGGAGAAUAAGUGGUGGGAAAGACUGGUGCCAGCCGCCGCGGUAACACCAGCGCCACAAGUGGGGAUCAGUUUUAUUGGGUCUAAAGCGUCCGUAGCCGGCUUAGUAAAUUUUCUGUGAAAUCGGCCAUGUUAACUGGUCGGCGUGCAGAAAACACUGCUAGGCUUGGGACUGGGAGAGGUAAGAAGUAUUCCAGGGGUAGCGGUAAAAUGUUAUAAUCCCUGGAGGACUACCAAUGGCGAAGGCAUCUUACCAGAACAGAUCCGACGGUGAGGGACGAAAGCUGGGGGAGCGAUCCGG